GUCCGCACCAUAAACGAUGGACACUUGGUGUUGGAGGUAUUGACCCCUUCAGUGCCGAAGCUAACGCGUUAAGUGUCCCGCCUGGGGAGUACGGCCGCAAGGUUAAAACUCAAAGAAAUUGACGGGGGCCCGCACAAGCGGUGGAGCAUGUGGUUUAAUUCGAUGCAACGCGCAGAACCUUACCUAGAUUUGACAUAGACUGGAAGACUGGCAGAAAUGCCGUCGCCCGCAAGGGCCGGUUUACAGGUGCUGCAUGGCUGUCGU
rnacentral:rRNA from 1 species